GUUGUAUGGUUAAGUGACUAAGCGUACACGGUGGAUGCCUUGGCAGUCAGAGGCGAUGAAGGACGUGCUACCCUGCGAAAAGGGUUGGUGAGCUGGGAUGGAGCGCUAUAGCCAACCAUGUCCGAAUGGGGAAACCCACCUAAGAUAACUUAGGUAUCGUUAAGUGAAUACAUAGCUUAACGAGGCGAACCGGGAGAACUGAAACAUCUAAGUACCCCGAGGAAAAGAAAUCAACCGAGAUUCCGUUAGUAGCGGCGAGCGAACGCGGAGCAGCCCAGAGUCUGAAUCAGUGGAUGCGUUAGUGGAACGGAUUGGAAAGUCCGGCGAUACAGGGUGAUAGCCCCGUACACGAAGAUGCAUUGCUGUGAGCUCGAUGAGUAGGACGGGACACGUGGUAUCCUGUUUGAAGAUGGGGGGACCAUCCUCCAAGGCUAAAUACUCCUGACUGACCGAUAGCGAACCAGUACCGUGAGGGAAAGGCGAAAAGAACCCCUGUGAGGGGAGUGAAAUAGAACCUGAAACCGUGUACGUACAAGCAGUGGGAGCACCUUCGUGGUGUGACUGCGUACCUUUUGUAUAAUGGGUCAGCGACUUACAUUUUGUAGCGAGGUUAACCGAAUAGGGGAGCCGUAGGGAAACCGAGUCUUAAUAGGGCGAAUUAGUUGCAAGGUGUAGACCCGAAACCCGGUGAUCUAGCCAUGGGCAGGUUGAAGGUUGGGUAACACUAACUGGAGGACCGAACCGACUAAUGUUGAAAAAUUAGCGGAUGACUUGUGGCUGGGGGUGAAAGGCCAAUCAAACCGGGAGAUAGCUGGUUCUCCCCGAAAGCUAUUUAGGUAGCGCCUCGGACGAACACCUACGGGGGUAGAGCACUGUUAAGGCUAGGGGGUCAUCCCGACUUACCAACCCUUUGCAAACUCCGAAUACCGUAGAGUGCUAUCCGGGAGACACACGGCGGGUGCUAACGUCCGUCGUGAAGAGGGAAACAACCCAGACCGCCAGCUAAGGUCCCAAAGUCAUGGUUAAGUGGGAAACGAUGUGGGAAGGCUUAGACAGCUAGGAUGUUGGCUUAGAAGCAGCCAUCAUUUAAAGAAAGCGUAAUAGCUCACUAGUCGAGUCGGCCUGCGCGGAAGAUGUAACGGGGCUAAACCAUGCACCGAAGCUGCGGCAAUGACAUUUAGGUGUUAUUGGGUAGGGGAGCGUUCUGUAAGCGGUUGAAGGUGUACUGUGAGGUAUGCUGGACGUAUCAGAAGUGCGAAUGCUGACAUAAGUAACGAUAAAGCGGGUGAAAAGCCCGCUCGCCGGAAGACCAAGGGUUCCUGUUCAACGUUAAUCGGAGCAGGGUGAGUCGACCCCUAAGGCGAGGCUGAAAAGCGUAGUCGAUGGGAAACGGGUUAAUAUUCCCGUACUUGUGGUAACUGCGAAGGGGGGACGGAGAAAGUUAGGCUAUCCGGGCGACGGUUGUCCCGGUUUAAGCGUGAAGGUGGAGAGACUAGGCAAAUCCGGUCUUUCAUUAACACUGAGGCGUGAUGACGAAGCACUACGGUGCUGAAGUAGCUGAUACUACGCUUCCAGGAAAAGCCUCUAAGCAUCAGGUUACCAGAAAUCGUACCCCAAACCGACACAGGUGGUCAGGUAGAGAAUACUCAGGCGCUUGAGAGAACUCGGGUGAAGGAACUAGGCAAAAUGGUGCCGUAACUUCGGGAGAAGGCACGCUGAUGGUAGGUGAAGUCCCUUGCGGAUGGAGCCGAA
rnacentral:rRNA from 1 species